AUAAAAACAGCCUCGGCCCAAUACCUUGCAGUGGUCGGAGGCAUGCUCUCCAUAUAACGAGCUUCUUGCAGCCUCCCAGGCAGAAGUGAACGCGCCGCCGCCGCCUGGAAUUGACCGGCGACCACUACCCCCAGCACCGGCAGCCUCUCCUCGCAACGGCAGGGCAGGUAGCAUGGCAUCUGGGAGCGCCACAACUGGUACAGGUAGCCAAUCGUCCAUGGGUGAGAGUGAAGGGCAGCCUGGUUCUGGUGUUUUAGAUCCCAAGUAUCUUGUGUGAUCUUCUUCGGUCUCUAAUACUAGACUAGCGUUUGAUGUGUUUUGCAAGAUGCAACUUGCAAUGACAUGGGACUAUGGGGAGAUCAAUCAAGUAUUUGAUAAUGGAGACACCAACUGGGACAGUAUUAUGAUAUCUUUCUCAUUAUUAUUUUUGUCUUUGACUCUAUAUUACAUUGCAUAUUAUUUUAUUUUAUUUUAUACAUAUUCGCACAUUCCCAAAUGGCUGUUUUUGGAAAAUGCCGUAUCCUGUGUCACCAUAUGUGUAUCGCCAUGUCCCCAUCCCCGUUUCUGUGCUUCUUAGGUAAAGUGCAAAGUUUGCAGCAACUGGUCACUAAUGCACUAGUGUACACAAAGGUUUUUCAACAGGAGACUAUGAGAGAAGAAAAAAGGACCAACACAAAAACACAUAUCAUUAUUUCACGAGGUUACUAGCUAGAAGACGGUAUCCAGCAGCUUGACACUUAACCUUUCUGCUUCCCGUUUACAAUUAAUGCUAGAGUCGCUUUUGAUGCAACAAGACCAUGCAGUGAGCAAUACCGUUUACUAUUUCCAUGUAUCCCAAAUGUCAGGUCGCAUGGAUUGACAAGGUAAAUGGAUAUUGUCAAGAAUACAGUACGGUGGGUAGUUGUUUCUUUACUAGAACAAAACAUUAGCACAAAUACAACCAGAGUUGGACAAAUUUAUUGACCCUUUGAACUUACUAGCGAGGCACUCACUAGCAGUAUAGCUACAGUGCACUUUCACCUUUCAUCACUAUAUCUUCUAACAUACGUAUAAGCUACAAUUUUAGGCUACUCACUGGAACUGCUAAUUAACUGACACAGUACUAGCUACAGUUCUUGCCGUGCAGUGCUUAGCAGGAUAAAACCAUGCCCAGCUGAGGACUGAGUCCAACCAUUUGAUCCAGGUGAUUCAUAACUAGAUGCUUGGAGUUCAGGUCCUCACGUUAUUUUUUUUAAAAAGGCAAAUCAUCAGAGCCUUAAAUCAUUCAAGUCUUGAAGGGUUACUCAAAGGGUCAUCCAGAGAAGCACCGCGGCAGCAAUUAAAUAACUUCUGUUGCACAUUCCACACUCUCACCUUUUACCUACUACAAAUUGUGGUGGGAAUCAACCUCUGAAGCAGCUAGGAUACUUGGCUCAGUAGCAUGCUAUAGGUGAAGGAAGUGAUUGCUGGAAGCCUGGAACUACCUAGGUGAAACUGAGAAUCAAUUCAACAUGCAUAAAGCAAACAUGCACCCAAAAUCCACGAGCUGUGCCUCAGGGGAUCAUAGUUCUGCGCUUCUAGGACGUCGGAGUUUUUAGCAGAGACUGUUAAUGUCAGAAUGUGAGAAGUGUGAACUUUCACCCAUGACUGUGAACCCCAGCAAACAUCAGUACAACAACAACAACAACAACAACAAAGCCUUUAGUCCCAAGCAAGUUGGCAGCAAACAUCAGUGAUGGUCAUAAACUAAUGAUGGUGGGCAGUAGGUUUAGCACCAGCGGCGGUGCCAGCACCAAACAUCUGUGGUUCAAGUGCAGUAAUCUUUCUAAAAUGCCCUAAUUUGUUGCACAAAUAUGAACAGAACUAAGCAUGCAACCGAAAAAGCUGUGGGGUCAGCUGACCCCACAGCUUACACGUAGAAUCGCCAUUGUUUAGCACCAUGGGAGGGAAAUUAUAAAAUUUAUUUUUGGAGACUAGUGUGUGGGGAAAACGAUGAUCGUUAACGAACAUGUACAAAUUUUAGCCUGGCAUGUUUAUGAUGUUGGGCUUAUAAAUGUGUGACGGCUAUUAUGUCGAACCCCUGUUUUAGGGGUGUGACAUCA